AUGUGUAUUAGCUGAUGAUUGAAAUGAUACGAAUAUAGAUGAUUCGCCGAGAGCUAGUUCACGACAAGUUCUGUUGCCAGCAUCCGCGGGAAUACCAGCUGAGCUAGGUAUGGUUAAUUUUGUUGCAGUAAAGACAUUCGUAUUCGAUUUUGAAUUUUCGUUCUCAAUAUACUUCUGAAUAUUUUAAAUUUUACAAAUUUUUGUCCGCGAUUAACUUAGAACGAUUAAUUUGCAUGGAGAAUACUAAAGCGUGGUAAAUCUGAAGAUACCUUUUUCUAAAGCUCAAUUUUGGAAAUUGGAAUAUAAGGAAAAAAUAAGUGAGGGCGGAGGUACUUACUAGCUACAGGAGAAAUUCUUAAAUUUGGUAAUGACCAACGACUGUAAAAGCCUCCGGCCAACUUAUAUUUGGCGAUCAAGAAUUAAAGCGUGGGGAUCGAAGAGGAUUAGAUACCCUCGUAGUCCACUCCCUAAACUAUGUCAACUAGAGAUUGGGUAAAUGUUUAAUACUCUGUCAGAACCUUAGCAGAUAUGAAAGUUUUUGGACUCUGGGGGAAGUAUGGUCGCAAGGGCGAAACUUAAAGGAAUUGACGGAACGGCACCACCAGGGGUGGAGCGUGCGGCUUAAUUUGACUCAACGCGGGAAACCUUGCUAGGGUACGACAUUAAAAUGAUUGACAAAUUGCUUGAUUUUUCUUGAUAUAAUGGGUGGUGGUGCAUGGCCGAUCUUAGUUGGUGGGGUGACUUGUCUGGUUAAUUUCGAUAACGAACGAGAUCCGAGCUGUUUAGUUGCAUUUACUUGUUUAUUUCAGGUUAAAUGUUUUUAAAUGGACCAUCAGAUCAAUCUGAAGGAAGUGACGGGCUAAAUCAGGUCUGUGAUGCCCUUUGAUACUCUGGGCGGCACGCGCGCUACAAUGGAUAACUUAACGUGUUACAUGUCCGAAAGGAUGUAUGCAAAUCACAAAUGUUAUGUCUCGAGUGGGAUAGUUUACUGCAAUUAUAGACUUGAACUAGGAAUCCCUUGUAGGUACACUGAAGCAUAGUGUACCGAAUACGUCCCUGCCGUUUGUACACACCGCCCGUCGUUUCUUCCGACUGAUACUCAUUGUGAAUUGCGGGGAUAACGUAGCUUAAAACCAGUUGUAAAUGCUGGGUAUUGGAGGAAGAAAAAGUCGUAAAAGGGGUAACC
rnacentral:rRNA from 1 species